UUAAGUGACUAAGCGUACACGGUGGAUGCCUAGGCAGUCAGAGGCGAUGAAGGGCGUGCUAAUCUGCGAAAAGCGUCGGUAAGGUGAUAUGAACCGUUACAACCGGCGAUACCCGAAUGGGGAAACCCAGUGUGUUUCGACACACUAUCAUGUCAUGAAUACAUAGUGGCAUGAGGCGAACCGGGGGAACUGAAACAUCUAAGUACCCCGAGGAAAAGAAAUCAACCGAGAUUCCCCCAGUAGCGGCGAGCGAACGGGGAGGAGCCCAGAACCUGAAUCGGCUUGUGUGUUAGUGGAAGCGUCUGGAAAGUCGCGCAGCAAAGGGUGAUAGCCCCGUACACUAAAAUGCACAGGUCGUGAGUUCGAUGAGUAGGGCGGGACACGUGACAUCCUGUCUGAAUAUGGGGGGACCAUCCUCCAAGGCUAAAUACUCCUGACUGACCGAUAGUGAACCAGUACCGUGAGGGAAAGGCGAAAAGAACCCCGGCGAGGGGAGUGAAAUAGAACCUGAAACCGUGUACGUACAAGCAGUGGGAGCACCUUCGUGGUGUGACUGCGUACCUUUUGUAUAAUGGGUCAGCGACUUAUAUUUUGUAGCAAGGUUAACCGUAUAGGGGAGCCGUAGGGAAACCGAGUCUUAACUGGGCGAAUAGUUGCAAGGUAUAGACCCGAAACCCGGUGAUCUAGCCAUGGGCAGGUUGAAGGUUGGGUAACACUAACUGGAGGACCGAACCGACUAAUGUUGAAAAAUUAGCGGAUGACUUGUGGCUGGGGGUGAAAGGCCAAUCAAACCGGGAGAUAGCUGGUUCUCCCCGAAAGCUAUUUAGGUAGCGCCUCGUGAACUCAUCUUCGGGGGUAGAGCACUGUUUCGGCUAGGGGGCCAUCCCGGCUUACCAAACCGAUGCAAACUCCGAAUACCGAAGAAUGUUAUCACGGGAGACACACGGCGGGUGCUAACGUCCGUCGUGAAGAGGGAAACAACCCAGACCGCCAGCUAAGGUCCCAAAGUCAUGGUUAAGUGGGAAACGAUGUGGGAAGGCAUAGACAGCCAGGAUGUUGGCUUAGAAGCAGCCAUCAUUUAAAGAAAGCGUAAUAGCUCACUGGUCGAGUCGGCCUGCGCGGAAGAUGUAACGGGGCUAAACCAUGCACCGAAGCUGCGGCAGCGACGCUUAGGCGUUGUUGGGUAGGGGAGCGUUCUGUAAGCCGUUGAAGGUGGCCUGUGAGGGUUGCUGGAGGUAUCAGAAGUGCGAAUGCUGACAUAAGUAACGAUAAAGCGGGUGAAAAGCCCGCUCGCCGGAAGACCAAGGGUUCCUGUCCAACGUUAAUCGGGGCAGGGUGAGUCGACCCCUAAGGCGAGGCUGAAAAGCGUAGUCGAUGGGAAACAGGUUAAUAUUCCUGUACUUGGUGUUACUGCGAAGGGGGGACGGAGAAGGCUAGGCUAGCCGGGCGACGGUUGUCCCGGUUUAAGCGUGUAGGGGGUGUGACCUGGUAAAUCCGGUUGCAUAUCAACCCUGAGGCGUGAUGACGAUGCACUACGGUGCAGAAGUAGUUGAUGCCCUGCUUCCAGGAAAAGCCUCUAAGCUCCAGGUAACAUUAAAUCGUACCCCAAACCGACACAGGUGGUCAGGUAGAGAAUACCAAGGCGCUUGAGAGAACUCGGGUGAAGGAACUAGGCAAAAUGGUGCCGUAACUUCGGGAGAAGGCACGCUGGCAUGUAGGUGAAGUCCCUUGCGGAUGGAGCUGAAGCCAGUCGAAGAUACCAGCUGGCUGCAACUGUUUAAUAAAAACACAGCACUGUGCAAACACGAAAGUGGACGUAUACGGUGUGACGCCUGCCCGGUGCUGGAAGGUUAAUUGAUGGGGUCAGCCGCAAGGCGAAGCUCUUGAUCGAAGCCCCAGUAAACGGCGGCCGUAACUAUAACGGUCCUAAGGUAGCGAAAUUCCUUGUCGGGUAAGUUCCGACCUGCACGAAUGGCGUAAUGAUGGCCAGGCUGUCUCCACCCGAGACUCAGUGAAAUUGAACUCGCUGUGAAGAUGCAGUGUACCCGCGGCAAGACGGAAAGACCCCGUGAACCUUUACUAUAGCUUGACACUGAACAUUGAGCCUUGAUGUGUAGGAUAGGUGGGAGGCUUUGAAGCGUGGACGCCAGUCUGCGUGGAGCCAUCCUUGAAAUACCACCCUUUAAUGUUUGAUGUUCUAACUCGGCCCCAUAAUCUGGGGUGAGGACAGUGUCUGGUGGGUAGUUUGACUGGGGCGGUCUCCUCCCAAAGAGUAACGGAGGAGCACGAAGGUUAGCUAAUCACGGUCGGACAUCGUGAGGUUAGUGCAAAGGCAUAAGCUAGCUUGACUGCGAGAGUGACGGCUCGAGCAGGUACGAAAGUAGGUCUUAGUGAUCCGGUGGUUCUGAAUGGAAGGGCCAUCGCUCAACGGAUAAAAGGUACUCCGGGGAUAACAGGCUGAUACCGCCCAAGAGUUCAUAUCGACGGCGGUGUUUGGCACCUCGAUGUCGGCUCAUCACAUCCUGGGGCUGAAGUAGGUCCCAAGGGUAUGGCUGUUCGCCAUUUAAAGUGGUACGCGAGCUGGGUUUAGAACGUCGUGAGACAGUUCGGUCCCUAUCUGCCGUGGGCGUUGGAAGAUUGAGAGGGGUUGCUCCUAGUACGAGAGGACCGGAGUGAACGCACCACUGGUGUUCGGGUUGUCAUGCCAAUGGCAUUGCCCGGUAGCUAAGUGCGGAAAAGAUAAGCGCUGAAAGCAUCUAAGCGCGAAACUUGCCUCAAGAUGAGUCUUCCCUGGGCCUUUAAGGCCCCUGAAGGAACGUUUAAGACUAAGACGUUGAUAGGCUGGGUGUGUAAGUGCAGCGAUGCAUUGAGCUAACCAGUACUAAUGAUCCGUGAGGCUUAACCUU
rnacentral:rRNA from 1 species